GGGGAUAUUGUAUGUAACUGGUGACAUUUGAAAGAGACAUAUUGGACAGAAAUGACAUACGUGAAAGCUAAGAUACAAUAUAUUUAAUUUUCUAAGAAUUCAGUUCAAGGUAGUCUGCCUGGUUUCUCAAGUUCUGCAUGUUUCUUCAGUAGACUAAAUAAUGAUAAGGAAGCUGAGAUGUAGAGCUGAAGUGUCUUGCCCAAGAUCAUUUGUCUACUGCAGCUCCUGUUCCACUUCCUUUCUUGUACUGCUGAACAUCCAGAUAGAGGCAUUGACAUGCAUGGUUUCCAACUGAUCACUUCCUACUCCCUUAAGGACCUCCUGUCAGGCAGUUUUGCUAAUUUCUUUAAUAUCAGAAGACAGCUGGAUUCUCAUUUCUGCUUCUGCAUUCAGUCUAUUGUGAUAUAGCAUAUCAUGUAACUUCUGAAAAACUUCACUGUACACAGAUGCUGACCUCACAGACUCCCUGAAAGGAUCUCCAUGACCUCUAUGGUUCCUUAGACUGCACUUUGAGAACUAUUGACGUACAGGGAAAAAUGCUCUUGGUGCCAAGAAGGGAUUCCGAAGAUAGAAGAGGAGGCAUCAACACCGUGAACAUCAUGGCUGAGUUAUUUUGUGAGAGGGAUAAGCCUAAAGUAAAAACCUUGGAUUUGCCUCUGUCCUUGAACAUGCUAUCUGGAAAGAGUUUUCUUAAAAGUAUUGUUGUGAACACAUCCAUUUUCCCAGUAUAGUUGAAUGCAGGGUUUAAUAAAUGGAAUGAAUCUAGUUUUA
ensembl:lncRNA novel transcript